rnacentral:rRNA from 1 species
GGGCCCGCACAAGCGGUGGAGCAUGUGGUUUAAUUCGAUGAUACGCGAGGAACCUUACCAGGGCUUAAAUGUAAGUUGCAUAGAUCAGAGAUGAUCUUUUCUUCGGACUACUUACAAGGUGCUGCAUGGUUGUCGUCAGCUCGUGCCGUGAGGUGUCAGGUUAAGUCCUAUAACGAGCGCAACCCCUAUCGUUAGUUGCCAUCAAGUAAAGUUGGGAACUCUAACGAAACUGCCGGUGCAAACCGUGAGGAAGGUGGGGAUGACGUCAAAUCAUCACGGCCCUUACGUCCUGGGCUACACACGUGCUACAAUGGCCGGUACAGAGAGCAGCCACUUUGCAAAAAGGAGCGAAUCUAUAAAACCGGUCUCAGUUCGGAUCGCAGUCUGCAACUCGACUGUGUGAAGCUGGAAUCGCUAGUAA